rnacentral:SRP_RNA from 1 species
GUUGGGCAUGGUGGCGGGUGCCUGUAAUCCCAGCUACUUGGGAGGUUGAGGCAGGAGAAUUGCUUGAACCCGGGAGGCGGUGGUUGCAGUGAGCCAAGAUUGAGCCACUGCACUCCAUCCUGGGUGACAGAGCGAGACUCUGUCUCAA